CGACGACGACGACGACGACGACGACGACGGCGACGACGACGACGACGACGACGAUGACGACAACGACAACAACGGAGAUGAUAAUACCAACGGAAGAAACGGACUAUAAAAGCUAUCGCGUUCGCCUUACCGCUGAGGAUAUUGCUGUUAGCAGGGUACAGCACAAGAUCAUGACUAAACGCAAGCGGGACGUUGGCCGUGGAAACAACAAAUUCGCAAGGUGGCGACGGUAACGACGAAUACGCAGGCAUACGCAGAAUUGCAGUCUUUUCACCGUAAUCUAGGUACGGCAAGCGUUGACUGUGUCGUUGCGUGUGCGCUUGUGAGCUUUAUGGGAGAGGUAUUUUGUAGGUGAGACGAAAGAGAGAAACGGGGCAGACGAGGGAAGUAAUAACGAUGUGAUGGUAAAAAUAUGUCCGUCGUGGUGGAACAUACUGAUGAUGAUGAUUAUGCUGAGAACAACAAUGAUAAUGAUAAUUACUAUUAUUAUUAGUACCAUUAUUAUAUAUCUUGAGAAUACCAUAAGUGCGCCCGCGCGAGUGCGUUAAAAAAGAACUAUAUAUAUUAUGCAGAGAAGCUCGGCGACUUGCCGAAGAAUGUCGGCAGAAGUCCAAUAGGCAGAGAAGUCAGUUGAGAAGAGCCAAAACAAUUAAGGAAAUAACUGAGAUCGAAAAUUAACAUCUACAAAGGGGGACAAGGAAGAAUCCAGUAACAAUGCUAAAAAGAAAUCGGCGUAGCCAGUCACAAAGUCACCCUUUUUGACUGAGUCGCUUGAUAUCAUCGUACUUGACUAUAUUAACAACGUACAACUACAAGAAGGAA
rnacentral:lncRNA from 1 species